CUGAUGUGAGAGGUGCUCCGGAACUGUCAUUGCCUUCUGCCUCGCUCAGUGCCACAAUAGUGAUAGCACGUAUUAGCUCUUUAGCAUGGUUCAGAGACUGUGAUUUAAGAAGCUGUAGUAUUGACCUCAUGAAAAAAUCUUUAAUGCGAUGUGUUUUGUUUUUCAGGCAGUCCCACUGGCAGAUCAUUUUGAUGCAGUGUGCGACAUCAACCCUGACAAAACAAGAGGGCAGUUUUGCAGACCAUUUCCCAAGGACACUUGAGCUAUUAUGCCCUGUCAGAACGCCCUGAUACAGGAAGAUGUGCCCAGAUGAGCCAUUUGGUCUCACCAGUUUCCUGACUACGGAGCCUGUUGCAUCAAAACACACUGUCUGGGUGGCCAAAUUGGGUAGAUGGCUUGGCUCAGGAUCUCCAAAGUCCAUCAGCUUUGUUGCCUGUGAUGCCCGCCAUACAUGGGCUUCCUUUCUGCCCUCACACAGUUCUUCGGCUACUUGCAAACGUAGCUGACC